rnacentral:tRNA from 1 species
GCAGUCGUGGCCGAGUGGUUAAGGCGAUGGAUUAGAAAUCGAUUGGGGUCUCCCCGCACAGGUUCAAAUCCUGUCGACUGCG